rnacentral:rRNA from 1 species
UACGGGGGGGGCAAGCGUUGUUCGGAAUUACUGGGCGUAAAGGGCGCGUAGGCGGCCUGCUAAGUCGGACGUGAAAUCCCUCGGCUCAACCGAGGAACUGCGUCCGAUACUGGUGGGCUUGAAUCCGGGAGAGGGAUGUGGAAUUCCAGGUGUAGCGGUGAAAUGCGCAGAUAUCGGGAAGAACACCCGUGGCGAAGGCGGCUCUCUGGGACGGUACUGACGCUGAGACGCGAAAGCGUGGGGAGCGAACAGG